CACAGAAGAGGAAAAAGAAGCAGAGAGAAAGAGACUGGAAGAAGUCGUCGAGUAUCAUCGCAAAUUUUUGAAGACUGACGGGGACAAGUGACUCUCUUCUCUUCUUCUUCUCUUCCUUUUCUUCUUUUUUAUUUUUAUGGAACAACUUUUAAUUUAAAC
rnacentral:ribozyme from 13 species